UGCCAGAUUUUUGAGCAAUUGUAUUUUGUCUUUGCAGAAAAGAGAAAACAGAACACGCUCUUAUACAAAUGUCUCAAAUCGUCAUAGUCAUUUUUUAGCCCAGUCAUGUGAGUAGUCAAGAAAUCAAGUGCCUUCAAGUUACACAGCUUCAUUCUAUAAAGGGAUGAACAUGAUUUGAACAAACCACAGCAUCCCACUUUCCAUUUCUAACUAGAUGAAAUCAAUGUCCUUAAUGGAUUCUAAAAC